AUGGUUGUAGUUGAGGCGAGGGUUGGGGUUACGGUUGUAGUUGAGGCUAGGGUUAUGGUUGUAGUUGAGAAUAGGGUUGGGGUUAUGGUUGUAGUUGAGGCUAGGUUUGGGGUUAUGGUUGUAGUUGAGGCUAGGGUUGGGUUUAUGGUUGUAGUUGAGCCUAGGGUUAGGGUUGUAGUUGUAGUUGAGACUAGGGGUAGGGUCAUGGUUGUAGUUGAGGCUAGGGUUGGGGUUAUGGUUGUAGUUGAGCCUAGGGUUAGGGUUAUGGUUGUAGUUGAGGCUAGGGUUAGAGUUAUGGUUGCAGUUGAGGAUUGGGUUGGGGUUAUGGUUGUGGUUGCAGUUGAGGCUAGGUUUGGGGUUAUGGUUGUAGUUGUAGUUGAGACUAGGGUUAUGGUUAUGGUUGUAGUUGAGACUAGGGUUGGGGUUAUGGUUGUAGUUGAGACUAGGGUUGGGGUUAUGGUUGUAGGUGAGAAUAGGGUUGGGGUUAUGGUUGUAGGUGAGACUAGGGUUGGGGUUAUGGUUGUAGUUGAGACUAGGGUUGGGGUUAUGGUUGUAGUUGAGACUAGGGUUAGGGUUAUGGUUGUAGUUGAGACUAGGGUUAGGGUUAUGAUUGUAGUUGAGACUAGGGUUGGGGUUAUGGUUGUAGUUGAGACUAGGGUUGGGGUUAUGGUUGUAGUUGAGACUAGGGUUAGGGUUAUGGUUGUAAUUGUAGUUGAGACUAGGGUUAGGGUUAUGGUUGUAGUUGAGACUAGGGUUGGGGUUAUGGUUGUAGUUGUAGUUGAGACUAGGGUUAGGGUUAUGGUUGUAGUUGGGACUAGGGUUGGGGUUAUUGUUGUAGUUGAGACUAGGGUUGGGUUAAUGGUUGUAGUUGAUACUAGGGUUAGGGUUAUGGUUGUAGUUGUAGUUGAGACUAGGGUUGGGGUUAUGGUUGUAGUUGGGGUUAUGGUUGUAGUUGAGGCUAGGGUUAUGGUUGUAGUUGUAGUUGAGACUAGGGUUGGUGUUAUGGUUGUAGUUGGGGUUAUGAUUGUAGUUGAGGCUAGGGUUGUGGUUAUGGUUGUAGUUGAGGCUAGGGUUGGGAUUAUGGUUGUAGUUGAGGCUAGGUUCGGGAUUAUGGUUGUAGUUGAGCCUAGGGUUAGGGUUAGGGUUGUAGUUGUAGUUGAGACUAGGGUUAGGGUCAUGGUUGUAGUUGAGACUAGGGUUAGGGUAAUGGUUGUAGUUGAGACUAGGGUUGGGGUUAUGGUUGUAGGUGAGAAUAGGGUUGGGGUUAUGGUUGUAGGUGAGACUAGGGUUGGGGUUAUGGUUGUAGUUGAGACUAGGGUUGGGGUUAUGGUUGUAGUUGAGACUAGGGUUAGGGUUAUGGUUGUAAUUGUAGUUGAGACUAGGGUUAGGGUUAUGGUUGUAGUUGAGACUAGGGUUGGGGUUAUGGUUGUAGUUGUAGUUGAGACUAGGGUUAGGGUUAUGGUUGUAGUUGGGACUAGGGUUGGGGUUAUUGUUGUAGUUGAGACUAGGGUUGGGUUAAUGGUUGUAGUUGAUACUAGGGUUAGGGUUAUGGUUGUAGUUGUAGUUGAGACUAGGGUUGGGGUUAUGGUUGUAGUUGGGGUUAUGGUUGUAGUUGAGGCUAGGGUUAUGGUUGUAGUUGUAGUUGAGACUAGGGUUGGUGUUAUGGUUGUAGUUGGGGUUAUGAUUGUAGUUGAGGCUAGGGUUGUGGUUAUGGUUGUAGUUGAGGCUAGGGUUGGGAUUAUGGUUGUAGUUGAGGCUAGGUUCGGGAUUAUGGUUGUAGUUGAGCCUAGGGUUAGGGUUAGGGUUGUAGUUGUAGUUGAGACUAGGGUUAGGGUCAUGGUUGUAGUUGAGACUAGGGUUAGGGUAAUGGUUGUAGUUGUAGUUGAGACUAGGGUUGGGGUUAUGGUUGUAGUUGGGGUUAUGGUUGUAGUUGAGGCUAGGGUUAUGGUUGUAGUUGUAGUUGAGACUAGGGUUAUGGUUAUGAUUGUAGUUGAGGCUAGGGUUGGGGUUAUGGUUGUAGUUGAGGCGAGGGUUGGGGUUAUGGUUGUAGUUGAGGCUAGGGUUAUGGUUGUAGUUGAGGCUAGGGUUGGGGUUAUGGUUGUAGUUGAGGCUAGGUUUGGGGUUAUGGUUGUAGUUGAGGCUAGGGUUGGGUUUAUGGUUGUAGUUGAGCCUAGGGUUAGGGUUGUAGUUGUAGUUGAGACUAGGGGUAGGGUCAUGGUUGUAGUUGAGACUAGGGUUAGGGUUAUGGUUGUAGUUCAAGUUGAGACUAGGGUUAGGGUUAUGGUUAUGGUUCAAGUUGAGACUAGGGUUAGGGUUAGGGUUAUGGUUGUAGUUGUAGUUGAGACUAGGGUUGGGGUUAUGGUUGUAGUUGGGGUUAUGGUUGUAGUUGUAGUUGAGACUAGGGUUAUGGUUGUAGUUGAGACUAGGGUUAUGGUUAUGAUUGUAGUUGAGGCUAGGGUUGGGGUUAUGGUUGUAGUUGUAGUUGAGGCUAGGGUUGGGGUUAUGGUUGUAGUUGGGGUUAUGGUUGUAGUUGAGGCUAGAGUUAUGGUUGUAGUUGUAGUUGAGACUAGGGUUAUGGUUAUGAUUGUAGUUGAGGCUAGGGUUGGGGUUAUGGUUGUAGUUGAGGCGAGGGUUGGGGUUAUGGUUGUAGUUGAGGCUAGGGUUAUGGUUAUGGUUGUAGUUGAGGCUAGGGUUGGGUUUAUGGUUGUAGUUGAGCCUAGGGUUAGGGUUAGGGUUGUAGUUGUAGUUGAGACUAGGGUUAGGGUCAUGGUUGUAGUUGAGACUAGGGUUAGGGUCAUGGUUGUAGUUGAGACUAGGGUUAGGGUUAUGGUUGUAGUUGAGGCUAGGGUUAGGGUUGUAGUUGUAGUUGAGACUAGGGUUAGCGUCAUGGUUGUAGUUGAGACUAGGGUUAGGGUUAUGGUUGUAGUUGUAGUUGAGACUAGGGUUAGGGUUAUGGUUCAAGUUGAGACUAGGGUUAUGGUUAUGGUUGUAGUUGUAGUUGAGACUAGGGUUGGGGUUAUGGUUGUAGUUGGGCUUAUGGUUGUAGUUGAGGCUAGGGUUAUGGUUGUAGUUGUAGUUGAGACUAGGGUUAUGGUUAUGAUUGUAGUUGAGGCUAGGGUUGGGGUUAGGGUUGUAGUUGUAGUUGAGACUAGGGUUAGGGUCAUGGUUGUAGUUGAGACUAGGGUUAGGUUUAUGGUUGUAGUUGUAGUUGAGACUAGGGUUGGGGUUAUGGUUGUAGUUGGGAUUAUGGUUGUAGUUGAGGCUAGGGUUGGGGUUAUGGUUGUAGUUGAGGCGAGGGUUGGGGUUAUGGUUGUAGUUGAGGCUAGGGUUAUGGUUGUAGUUGAGGCUAGGUUUGGGGUUAUGGUUGUAGUUGAGGCUAGGGUUGGGGUUAUGGUUGUAGUUGUAGUUGAGACUAGGGUUAGGGUUAUGGUUAUAGUUGAGACUAGGGUUGGGGUUAUGGUUGUAGUUGAGACUAGGGUUAGGGUUAUGGUUGUAGUUGAGACUAGGGUUGGGGUUAUGGUUGUAGUUGAGACUAGGGUUGAGGUUAUGGUUGUAGUUGAGACUACGGUAGGGGUUAUGGUUGUAGUUGUAGUUGAGACUAGGGUUAGGGUUAUGGUUGUAGUUGAGACUAGGGUUAGGGUUAUGGUUGUAGUUGAGACUGGGGUUGGGGUUAUGGCUGUAGUUGUAGUUGAGACUAGGGUUAGGGUUAUUUUUGUAGUUGAGAUUAGGGUUGGGGUUAUGGUUGUAGUUGAGACUAGGGUUGGGUUUAUGGUUGUAGUUGAGACUAGGGUUAGGGUUAUGGUUGUAAUUGUAGUUGAGACUAGGGUUGGGGUUAUGGUUGUAGUUGGGGUUAUGGUUGUAGUUGAGGCUAGGGUUAUGGUUGUAGUUGUAGUUGAGACUAGGGUUAUGGUUAUGGUUGUAGUUGAGGCUAGGGUUAUGGUUGUAGUUGAGGCUAGGGUUGGGGUUAUGGUUGUAGUUGAGGCUAGGUUUGGGGUUAUGGUUGUAUUUGAGACUAGGGUUGGGGUUAUGGUUGUAGUUGAGACUAGGGUUAUGGUUAUGGUUGUAGUUGAGACUAGGGUUAGAGUUAUUGUUGUAUUUGAGACAAGGGUUAUGGUUAUGGUUGUCGUUGAGACUAGGGUUAGAGUUAUGGUUGUAGUUGAGACUAGGGUUGGGGUUAUGGUUGUAGUUGAGACUAGGGUUAGGGUUAUGGUUGUAGUUGAGACAAGGGUUGGGGUUAUGGUUGUAGUUGAGACUAGGGUUAGGGUUAUGUUUGUAGUUGUAGUUGAGACUAGGGUUAUGGUUAUAAUUGUAGUUGAGGCUAGGGUUGGGGUUAUGGUUGUAGUUGAGGCUAGGUUUGGGGUUAUGGUUGUAGUUGAGGCUAGGGUUGGGGUUAUGGUUGUAGUUGUAGUUGAGACUAGGGUUAUGGUUAUGAUUGUAGUUGAGGCUAGGGUUGGAGUUAUGGUUGUAGUUGAGGCAAGGGUUGGUGUUAUGGUUGUAGUUGAGGCUAGGGUUAUGGUUGUAGUUGAGGCUAGGGUUAUGGUUGUAGUUGAGGCUAUUUUUGGGGUUAUGGUUGUAGUUGAGGCUAGGGUUAUGGUUGUAGUUGAGACUAGGGUUGGGGUUAUUGUUAUGGUUGUAAUUGAGACUAGGGUUGGGUUUAUGGUUGUAGUUGAGACUAGGGUUAUGGUUAUGGUUGUAGUUGAGACUAGGGUUGGGGUUAUGGUUAUGAUUGUAGUUGAGGCUAGGGUUGGGGAUAUGUUUGUAGUUGAGGCGAGGGUUGGGGUUGUGGUUGUAGUUGAGACUUGGGUUAGGGUCAUGGUUGUAGUUGAGACUAGGGUUAGGGUUUAUGGUUGUAGUUGUAGUUGA
ensembl:lncRNA